rnacentral:rRNA from 1 species
GAUGAACGCUGGCGGCGUGCCUAAUACAUGCAAGUCGAGCGAACAGACGAGGAGCUUGCUCCUCUGACGUUAGCGGCGGACGGGUGAGUAACACGUGGAUAACCUACCUAUAAGACUGGGAUAACUUCGGGAAACCGGAGCUAAUACCGGAUAAUAUAUUGAACCGCAUGGUUCAAUAGUGAAGGACGGUUUUGCUGUCACUUAUAGAUGGAUCCGCGCCGCAUUAGCUAGUUGGUAAGGUAACGGCUUACCAAGGCAACGAUGCGUAGCCGACCUGAGAGGGUGAUCGGCCACACUGGAACUGAGACACGGUCCAGACUCCUACGGGAGGCAGCAGUAGGGAAUCUGCCGCAAUGGGCGAAAGCCUGACGGAGCAACGCCGCGUGAGUGAUGAAGGUCUUCGGAUCGUAAAACUCUGUUAUUAGGGAAGAACAAAUGUGUAAGUAACUAUGCACGUCUUGACGGUACCUAAUCAGAAAGCCACGGCUAACUACGUG